CCUACGGGGGGCAGCAGUGGGGAAUAUUGCACAAUGGGGGAAACCCUGAUCCAGCGACGUCGCGUGAGGGAUGACGUACCUCGGGAUUUAAAGCUCUAUCAGCAGGGAAGAAAAUGACGGUACCUGAUUAAGAAGCCCCGGCUAACUACGUGCCAUCAGCCGCGGUAAUACGUCGGGGGCAAGCGUUAUCCGGAUUUACUGGGUGUAAAGGGGGCGUAGACGGGAGCACAAGUCUGGAGUGAAAUGCCGGGGGUUAACCCCGGAACUGCUGUUGAAACUGUGGAGCUAGAGUGCAGGAGAGGUAGGUGGAAUGCGUGGUGUAGCGGUGAAAUGCGUAGAUAUUAGGAGGAACACCGGUGGCGAAGGCGGCUUACUGGACUGCAACUGACGUUGAGGCUCGAAAGCGUGGGGAGCAAACAGGAUUAGAUACCCGUGUAGUC
rnacentral:rRNA from 1 species